UACGUAGGGCGCAAGCGUUGUCCGGAAUUACUGGGCGUAAAGCGUGCGUAGACGGUUAUUUAAGUCAGGUGUGAAAGCCCCGGGCUCAACCUGGGAAUUGCAUUUGAGACUGAAUAGCUAGGGUGCGGAAGAGGGAAGCGGAAUUUCCGGUGUAGCGGUGAAAUGCGUAGAUAUCGGAAGGAACACCAGUGGCGAAAGCGGCUUCCUGGUCCAGCACCGACGUUCAGGCACGAAAGCGUGGGGAGCAAACAGG
rnacentral:rRNA from 1 species